rnacentral:rRNA from 1 species
GAUGAACGCUGGCGGCGUGCCUAAUACAUGCAAGUCGAACGCAUAGCGAAAGGUGCUUGCACCUUUCAAGUGAGUGGCGAACGGGUGAGUAACACGUGGACAACCUGCCUCAAGGCUGGGGAUAACAUUUGGAAACAGAUGCUAAUACCGAAUAAAACUUAGUGUCGCAUGACACAAAGUUAAAAGGCGCUUCGGCGUCACCUAGAGAUGGAUCCGCGGUGCAUUAGUUAGUUGGUGGGGCAAAGGCCUACCAAGACAAUGAUGCAUAGCCGAGUUGAGAGACUGAUCGGCCACAUUGGGACUGAGACACGGCCCAAACUCCUACGGGAGGCUGCAGUAGGGAAUCUUCCACAAUGGGCGAAAGCCUGAUGGAGCAACGCCGCGUGUGUGAUGAAGGCUUUCGGGUCGUAAAGCACUGUUGUAUGGGAAGAACAGCUAGAAUAGGAAAUGAUUUUAGUUUGACGGUACCAUACCAGAAAGGGACGGCUAAAUACGUG